ACCCCGGGGAUAACAGGCUGAUCUUCCCCAAGAGUCCAUAUCGACGGGAUGGUUUGGCACCUCGAUGUCGGCUCGUCGCAUCCUGGGGCUGGAGUAGGUCCCAAGGGUUGGGCUGUUCGCCCAUUAAAGCGGCACGCGAGCUGGGUUUAGAACGUCGUGAGACAGUUCGGUCUCUAUCCGCCGUGCGCGUUGAAACUUGAAGAAGGCUGUCCCUAGUACGAGAGGACCGGGACGGACAUACCUCUGGUGGGCCAGUUGUCACGCCCGUGGCAUGGCUGGUUGGCUACGUAUGGGAGGGAUAACCGCUGAAAGCAUCUAAGCGGGAAGCCUGUUCUGAGAUGAGGUUUCUUUUGAGGUUCCCUAUAGAUUAUGGGGUUGAUAGGCCGGAUCUGGAAGUCAUGUGAGUGAUGGAGGUGACCGGUACUAAUUAGCCGAUGUUCAACACA
rnacentral:rRNA from 1 species